AUUGAACGCUGGCGGCAUGCUUUACACAUGCAAGUCGAACGGUAACAGGGAGCUUGCUCCGCUGACGAGUGGCGAACGGGUGAGUAAUGCAUCGGAACGUACCCAGUCGUGGGGGAUAACGUAGCGAAAGUUACGCUAAUACCGCAUACGUCCUGAGGGAGAAAGCGGGGGACCGUAAGGCCUCGCGCGAUUGGAGCGGCCGAUGUCGGAUUAGCUAGUUGGUAGGGUAAAGGCCUACCAAGGCGACGAUCCGUAGCGGGUCUGAGAGGAUGAUCCGCCACACUGGGACUGAGACACGGCCCAGACUCCUACGGGAGGCAGCAGAGGGGAAUUUUGGACAUGGGCGAAAGCCUGAUCCAGCCAUGCCGCGUGAGUGAAGAAGGCC
rnacentral:rRNA from 1 species